GGGAGUGUAGCCCAAAUGGCAGAGGCACGCGGUUUAAGACCGUGAUAGUAUAGGUUCGAAUCCUAUGACUCCUA
rnacentral:tRNA from 2 species